UACGUAGGGGGCUAGCGUUGUCCGGAAUCAUUGGGCGUAAAGCGCGCGUAGGCGGCCCGGUAAGUCCGCUGUGAAAGUCAAAGGCUCAACCUUUGAAUGUCAGCGGAUAUUGCCAGGCUAGAGUCCGGAAGAGGCGAGUGGAACUCCUGGUGUAGCGGUGGAAUGCGCAGAUAUCAGGAAGAACACCAACGGCGAAGGCAGCUCGCUGGGACGGAACUGACGCUGAGGCGCGAAAGCGUGGGGAGCGAACAGG
rnacentral:rRNA from 1 species